rnacentral:rRNA from 1 species
AGAGUUUGAUCCUGGCUCAGGAUGAACGCUGGCGGCGUGCCUAACACAUGCAAGUUGAGCGAUUUACUUCGGUAAAGAGCGGCGGACGGGUGAGUAACGCGUGGGUAACCUACCCUGUACACACGGAUAACAUACCGAAAGGUAUGCUAAUACGGGAUAAUAUAUUUGAGAGGCAUCUCUUGAAUAUCAAAGGUGAGCCAGUACAGGAUGGACCCGCGUCUGAUUAGCUAGUUGGUAAGGUAACGGCUUACCAAGGCGACGAUCAGUAGCCGACCUGAGAGGGUGAUCGGCCACAUUGGAACUGAGACACGGUCCAAACUCCUACGGGAGGCAGCAGUGGGGAAUAUUGCACAAUGGGCGAAAGCCUGAUGCAGCAACGCCGCGUGAGUGAUGAAGGCCUUCGGGUCGUAAAACUCUGUCCUCAAGGAAGAUAAUGACGGUACUUGAGGAGGAAGCCCCGGCUAACUACGUGCCAGCAGCCGCGGUAAUACGUAGGGGGCUAGCGUUAUCCGGAUUUACUGGGCGUAAAGGGUGCGUAGGCGGUCUUUCAAGUCAGGAGUGAAAGGCUACGGCUCAACCGUAGUAAGCUCUUGAAACUGGGAGACUUGAGUGCAGGAGAGGAGAGUGGAAUUCCUAGUGUAGCGGUGAAAUGCGUAGAUAUUAGGAGGAACACCAGUUGCGAAGGCGGCUCUCUGGACUGUAACUGACGCUGAGGCACGAAAGCGUGGGGAGCAAACAGGAUUAGAUACCCUGGUAGUCCACGCUGUAAACGAUGAGUACUAGGUGUCGGGGGUUACCCCCNGGCAGUCAUUUUGUUAUGGAAAAAUCACUUUAUUUCAGUAGAAAAUACACAUAAUAACAUAUUUUACCAAUUAUAACAUAAAAUAAAGAAAAAUUAUCUCAAAAAGUUACUAUUUUACAAAAAAUGACUUCUUUAUUUAUUUAAAUUAAUCGCAUUUCCAUUACAUUAAUACAAUAAUGUAUCAAUUUAGUAAGAAAACUAAUAUUUUUUUAAUGAAGUCCCAUGAAAAUAUAAAAAAAUUUUAAUAUGUAUUUAAAUAUUUCUUCGAAAAGUUGCUCUUUUUUGUAAAAUAGUAACUUUUUGAGAUAAUUUUUCUUUAUUUUAUGUUAUAAUUGGUAAAAUAUGUUAUUAUGUGUAUUUUCUACUGAAAUAAAGUGAUUUUUCCAUAACAAAAUGACUGCCAAAAAGGCAGUCAUUAUAGACUUUUCUUAGGUAUACAAUACACCUAGGACUCUUUUUGGCAACUGGCUGACAUAGUUUAUGUAUAUAAACCUUAGUCCCUAUAGCUUUGCGUCACUAGAUUUCUCUAGAUUUGCCUAUUUAGUUUUAACUUAAGUAUACAAUAAAUAACAAAUUUUUUAAAUAUCUUUUUUGUGUAUAAUUAAAUAUUUUAUUUUUUAAAUUUAAUUACCAAUAAUUACAAAGAUUAUAAACACUAUAGUUUACAAUUUUAUAAUAAACUCUUUGAAAAUAUUUUUAAUUUAUAAAAAUAUAAGACAAAUCUCAUCUUAAUUCUAUAUUUUUCCAUAUAUUUCAAUUUUAUUUGUACAAUAUAUCAAUAUUUAAAAAUGUCAAUUAACGAAACUUAAAUAAAUGAUAUAUAAAAAAUUUAUUUUUGAUAUUAUUAUGAGUAGUUUAAUAUUCAUUUAUAAUUUUAAUUAUAUAACUAACUUCUUCAUCUUCCAUACCGAUAAAUAAAGGUAUACUAACAACUUUAUCUGAAUAGUUCUCAGCUAUAUUAAAACUCCCCUUUUUAUAUCCCAAAUAAGCAUAUGCUUCAGAUAGAUGUGGUGGUAUCGGAUAAUGUAUUAUAGACUCUAUACCAUUUUUCUUUAAGUAUUCCAUAAAUGUAUCUCGUUUUUCAACUUGUAAAACAAAUAAAUGCCAUACAUGAGUACAAUUAUUUUCUAUCUUUGGAAGUAUGACUUUGGGAUUAUUAAUUUCAUUAAGAUAUCUAUCUACGAUUUUUGAUUUUUCAAUUUCAAUUUCAUUUAGAUAUUUAAGUUUUACUCUUAAUAAACCUGCCUGAAUUUCGUCCAAUCUUGAAUUAUAUCCGACAAAUUUAUUAUAAUAUCGCUUUUCUGAGCCAUAGUUUCUAAGAAUUUUCACUUUAUCAGCUAUUUCCUCAUUACUAGUUACUAUAGCUCCUGCAUCUCCAAAUGCACCCAAAUUUUUACUUGGAUAAAAACUAAAACAACCUAUAUCACCAAAUGUUCCUGUCAUUUUUCCAUCAUAUUUAGCUCCAUGAGAUUGAGCACAAUCUUCAAUUAAAUACAAGUUAUACUUAUCACAUAAUUCUUGUAUAUCUUUCAUAUUACUUGCUUGACCAUAUAAAUGCACUACUAAUAUAGCUUUUGUUUUGCUAUUUAUCUUUUCUUCUAUCUUAGAUGAAUCUAUAUUAUAAUAUUCAUUUGGUUCUACAAAUACUGGUGUUGCUCCAUUUAUACUGAUUCCCAUAACACUAGCAAUAUAUGUAUUUGAUUGCACGAUUACUUCAUCACCUUCGCUUAUUCCUAAUGCUCUAAAAGCAAUUAUCAGUGCAUCUAAACCACUGGCUAAACCAACACAAUAUUUGCUACCUACAUAGUUAGCAAAUUCUUCUUCAAAAUGCUUUACUUCAUUUCCAAGGAUAUAAUAUCCACUUUCCAUUACAUCCUUAAUCUUCUGUUCAUAUUCUUCUUUAUGGGUUUGGAACUGUUUUAAUAAAUUAUUAAAUUUAACCAACAAUAAAUUCACAUCCUAAUCUAUCUAUUCUCUAUGUGGCUAUCUUAAAUUUAUUUAAUUAAGAAAAUACAUCACUAACUGUAUAAUAACUACAUAUUAUUUAAAUACUUUAAAAAUUCUUUAUAGUCUCUAAUAUAAUCUUCUUCAUUAUAAUGUUCAGAUGCUAUAGAAAUUAAAACAGUUUUUUCAUCAAAAUCAAACAUCUCAUGCCACACUCCCGUUCCUAUAUAUAAUCCAACAUCAUUUUUAUGUAAAUUAAAUAUAGUCUCUUUUACACCAUCAUAACAUUUUAUCUUCACACUUCCAUUUAGGCAAACUAGUACUUGUUCCAAGUUUUUGUGUGCAUGAAAUCCUCUCUUUACAUUGUUUGGUACAUCAUAUAUGUAAUAAACUCUCUUUAUAUCAAAAGGUAUUGCUUUAUUUGAUUCUAAUGCAACUAAAUUUCCUAUAUAUUCGUUUCCAAUAGAUACGAACCUAAUUAAAUUAUAUUUAUCCAUAAAUUUAUCUAUCCUAUUC